AUGGAGGCAGCGGCGAACAAGCGCAGCGGCAUCGGGUUCGGCGCCACGGCGGCCGCGGAGGAGGAGAAGGGCCGCAAGAGGGGCCACGGAUCCACCGCGCUGUUCGUGGCGGUGGACUACGCCUUCCUGCUCGCCUUCGCCGGGUUCCUCGCCUACCUCGUCGUCUCCCAGAUCCUCCCUUCCGCCAUCUAG
rnacentral:rRNA from 1 species